UACGUAGGGUGCAAGCGUUAUCCGGAAUUAUUGGGCGUAAAGAGCUCGUAGGCGGUUUGUCGCGUCUGCCGUGAAAGUCCGGGCUCAACUCCGGAUCUGCGGUGGGUACGGGCAGACUAGAGUGAUGUAGGGGAGACUGGAAUUCCUGGUGUAGCGGUGAAAUGCGCAGAUAUCAGGAGGAACACCGAUGGCGAAGGCAGGUCUCUGGGCAUUAACUGACGCUGAGGAGCGAAAGCAUGGGGAGCGAACAGG
rnacentral:rRNA from 1 species